UUCCUAUUUACCAUUCAGCGCGGGACCACGAAAUUGCAUUGGUCAACGUUUCGCUCUGUUGGAGUUAAAAGCUCUGGUAGCUGCUCUGGUGUACAAGUUCUACUUAGAGCCCAUUGAUUAUUUGAAAGAUAUCCCAAUGAAAGUGGAUUUUGUACUGCGUGUUUCACGUCCGAUUCGCAUGAAAAUCACUCCAAUCAAACGCUUGUAGUCAUCUAAUAUGAAUACUGAUUGGUAAGAAAUAGUCGAUCUGAUUUUAAUAAUAUAUUAAAUAAUGCCUGAGAAAAUGUUGACGCCGUUAGCUGCAUCGCAGCGGGUCGUUAGGCGAGUGUUACUUAACAAGAAAAAAAAUUUUGUUUUUAAGGAUGUUUGUUAAAAAAUAGCAUAUAUAAAUUCGUAACAAAUAA